rnacentral:rRNA from 1 species
GAUGAACGCUAGCGGCAGGCUUAACACAUGCAAGUCGAGGGGUAGAAGGAGCUUGCUCCUUUGAGACCGGCGCACGGGUGCGUAACGCGUAUGCAAUCUACCUUUUGCAGAGGGAUAGCCCAGAGAAAUUUGGAUUAAUACCUCAUAGUAUGUGAGGAUGGCAUCAUUUUCACAUUAAAGUCACAACGGCAAAAGAUGAGCAUGCGUCCCAUUAGCUAGUUGGUAAGGUAACGGCUUACCAAGGCUACGAUGGUAGGGGUCCUGAGAGGGAGAUCCCCCACACUGGUACUGAGACACGGACCAGACUCCUACGGGAGGCAGCAGUGAGGAAUAUUGGACAAUAGGGCGCAAGCCUGAUCCCAGCCAAUGCCGCGUGCAGGAUGACGGUCCUAUGGAUU